UACGUAGGGGGCAAGCGUUGUCCGGAUUUAUUGGGCGUAAAGAGCGUGUAGGCGGUCAGGUAGGUCGGUUGUGAAAACUGGAGGCUCAACCUUCAGAGGUCGACCGAAACCCCCUGGCUAGAGUCCGGGAGAGGAGAGUGGAAUUCCUGGUGUAGCGGUGAAAUGCGCAGAUAUCAGGAAGAACACCCGUGGCGAAAGCGGCUCUCUGGAACGGUACUGACGCUGAGAAGCGAAAGCAUGGGGGAGCGAACAGG
rnacentral:rRNA from 1 species